UACGUAGGGUGCAAGCGUUGUCCGGAAUUAUUGGGCGUAAAGAGCUCGUAGGCGGUUUGUCGCGUCUGCUGUGAAAACCUAGGGCUUAACCCUGGGCCUGCAGUGGGUACGGGCAGACUAGAGUGCGGUAGGGGAGACUGGAAUUCCUGGUGUAGCGGUGAAAUGCGCAGAUAUCAGGAGGAACACCGGUGGCGAAGGCGGGUCUCUGGGCCGUAACUGACGCUGAGGAGCGAAAGCAUGGGGAGCGAACAAGG
rnacentral:rRNA from 1 species